UAAAUGGUUAGAUUUCAAUAAUUUCUACAUGCAUUUGAUUUCCGGAAAGCGUUGUGAUACUUGAAAUUAAAUUGUUUACAAAAUUAUGACACUUUUUGUGAAAUAUUGGCAAUGUUUAUCAACUUCGAAUUAUCGCUGAACAACAUUUGUUGUUUACAUCGGAGAGAGCCGAGUGCGUCACAUGAUUUCAGUAUCCUCGCUUUCACCCGACGAAAAUGGAAUCGAGGUAAGUGUAAACAUUUUGUCACGUGGAUGUAGAACGUGAUUACUUUGCAAUCGGAUGGUUUAUACGGUCUCGAGGAGUACCGAUCGUUAUUCACUAUUGUUGAUUGAGAGCUCAAACAGAUAAAAUCAACCUCAAUAUCAUCUUGAUUGGCAAGUCAGCAGAGCAUGCAGUCUAAUUAUAUAUGGGUAGAGGUCAAGGUGACAGGAGUAAAGAAAAUAUAGAAAUCGUGAAAAUUUAAGCAUUUUAUUGGUAAUCACUUUGUCUGUUUGCCCAUACACAUAAGCUGAAUUAUCUUAUUUCAAGGAAGUUGUUUUGACACCUGUGCAGUGAAAAGGUUUGAUAUAAAAUCAAAAUAAAUUACAUUACAUCAUUGAA